rnacentral:rRNA from 1 species
UACAGAGGUCUCAAGCGUUGUUCGGAUUCAUUGGGCGUAAAAGGGUGUGUAGGUGGCGCCGUAAGUCGGGUGUGAAAUUUCGGAGCUUAACUCCGAAACUGCAUUCGAUACUGCGGUGCUUGAGGACUGGAGAGGAGACUGGAAUUCAUGGUGUAGCAGUGAAAUGCGUAGAGAUGCGGAGGAACACCGAUGGCGAAGGCAGCCCCCUGGGCUAACACUGACGCUCAGGCACGAAAGCGUGGGGAGCAAACAGG